GGAAAGGUGGCAGAGUGGUUGAAUGCACCAAUUUUGAAAAUUGGCGUGGCUGUGAAGUCAUCUAGGGUUCGAAUCCCUACCUUUCCG
rnacentral:tRNA from 1 species